AUGCACAAAACUAUUCUCUCUCUCUCUCUCUCUCUCACACACACACACACAUACACUAUGGUGGCCAGACCCUUCUCAUCUUCUCUAUUUCUCUACUCUACCGUGAGAUCCACACACAACCGCGACGUUUAUCACCUUCACUCGACCAUCUUUCAUCUUCAUCAUUUCGCCUUACUUUUAUUAAUAACUUGA